rnacentral:rRNA from 1 species
AACGUAGGAGACGAACGUUAUCCGGAGUUACUGGGCGUAAAGCGCGCGCAGGCGGCCUUUUAAGUCUGCUGGUGAAAUGCCGGGGCUCAGCCCCGUGCCCGCCACAGAUACUGGGAGGCUGGAGACGAGUAGAGGCAAGCGGAAUUCCGGGUGUAGCGGUGGAAUGCGUAGAGAUCCGGAAGAACACCGGAGGCGAAGGCGGCUUGCUGGGCUCGGUCUGACGCUGAGGCGCGAAAGCGUGGGGAGCGAACAGG